AAGUCGUAACAAGGUUUCCGUUGGUGAACCAGCGGAAGGAUCAUUACAGAGUUCAUGCCCUUCGGGGUAGACCUCCCACCCUGUUUAUAUACUAUUGUUGCUUUGGCAGGCUGCCCUCACCAUGGGGCGUCCGGGUUCCGCCCGCGUCUCGCCUGCCAAAAGCCCCCUAAUUCUGUGUUCUGUGUCGUCUGAGUACUAUAUAAUAAGUUAAAACUUUCAACAACGGAUCUCUUGGUUCUG
rnacentral:misc_RNA from 1 species